rnacentral:sRNA from 1 species
CAUGCUUGAUUAAUUUGCUCCCAGAUGAAAGUAACUCAUUGCUGCACAACUCCUUGAAUUGAGGGUUCCGAUUCUAGAACACAACAUCCUCUGCAGAUUUUUUACUGGAAGGUGUUCCUUUUGUGCUUCUUAAACUGAAGGAGCUAUCCAAGGAAAAAGAAUAAAUAAGAUCCUAUCGUCUUCAACGUGAUGCUAUCAUCCUUGGUCAUCAGGAAAAACUCAGAAGACCAUGGACCGCUCCUGCCACUCAUAUGCAGGUCAGGGGUCUUCUUUGUGAAAAGAGUUUAUUCAAACAGCCUAAUUGGGUUACAGUUCUUCGAUGGAAUUCAUGAAGGCACAUAUGAAUGGGGCAAUCUUGAUCAAUUAAUUGCUUCAGUUUAGAGAGUUUUUUUCCUACAGGCAGGUGAGAUGACCACCAGGCACCAGCACAAUAGCUCAUUACAAGAGCACAAACCAGACUGAAGAUUGUUUGGCAGCUGAAACUGCACUGUGUAGGCAGUAGCCCUUCUUGAGAAGUGAUAGAAGUGAUGGCCAUGACCUUGAGCCUUUGAUCAUCUGGAACAGCAACACUUAGGUACGCAAGAAGCUCUUGGAAGUGGCGAUAUACAUUGUGUAAAAUAUCCAUCAAUUACUAUUAUCCCUUUCAUCCAUCAGAAUUGUGUUACUUGCUGUCUACGGUUUAACAUGGCACUCUACCACCAAAUUUUGUUGUAAACAUGGUAUCUAAACACU